GGUCUCAGAGCGAGCAGCCGACGCGUUACGCAGGAAGAAGUUCCUGUUGAGGUGGACGUUCCUCUGACCGCGGUACUAACAGAGAGACAUCAGGAGAGAUGUCAGGUGAGACAUCGGGAGAGACACCAGGAGAGAUGUCGGGUGAGACAUCAGGAGAAAGACCAGGUGAGACACCAGGUGAGACAUCAGGAGAAAGACCAGGUGAGACAUCAGGAGAAAGACCAGGUGAGACACCAGGUGAAACACCAGGUGAGACAUCAGGAGAAAGACCAGGUGAGACACC